rnacentral:rRNA from 1 species
UACGUAGGUGGCAAGCGUUGUCCGGAAUUAUUGGGCGUAAAGCGCGCGCAGGCGGUCCUUUAAGUCUGAUGUGAAAGCCCACGGCUCAACCGUGGAGGGUCAUUGGAAACUGGGGGACUUGAGUACAGAAGAGAAGAGUGGAAUUCCACGUGUAGCAGUGAAAUGCGCAGAUAUCAGGAGGAACACCAAUUGCGAAGGCAGCUCGCUGGGACGUAACUGACGCUGAGACGCGAAAGCGUGGGGAGCAAACAGG